AUUUUGUGGGUACUGCAUCAUCAGUGACUGAGUCACAGGCCUCAAGAGAAUUCAGGCACAUUGUUAUGAUUGAUCAUUUCCCAAGGAGCAGCUGUUGAAGAGGAACUGAUCCACUGUUCAAUAAAAACAAAACCUAUGCGUGCAUCACUCAGAUGAAA